GAUGAACGCUGGCGGCAUGCCUAAUACAUGCAAGUCGAACGAGAGGAAGGAAAGCUUGCUUUUCUGAAUCUAGUGGCGAACGGGUGAGUAACACGUAGGUAACCUGCCCAUGUGCCCGGGAUAACUUCUGGAAACGGAUGCUAAAACCGGAUAGGUAGCAGACAAGCAUUUGACUGCUAUUAAAGUGGCUAAGGCCAUGAACAUGGAUGGACCUGCGGUGCAUUAGCUAGUUGGUGAGGUAACGGCCCACCAAGGCGACGAUGCAUAGCCGGCCUGAGAGGGCGGACGGCCACAUUGGACUGAGACACGGCCCAAACUCCUACGGGAGGCAGCAGUAGGGAAUUUUUGUCAAUGGGGGGAACCCUGAACGAGCAAUGCCGCGUGAGUGAGGAAGGUCUUCGGAUCGUAAAGCUUUGUUGUAAGAGAAAAACGACAUUCAUAGGGAAUGAUGAGUGAGUGAUGGUAUCUUACCAGAAAGUCACGGCUAACUACGUGCCAGCCGCCGCAGAA
rnacentral:rRNA from 1 species